rfam:Salmo salar isolate Sally breed double haploid chromosome ssa03, whole genome shotgun sequence.
UCCCAUGUGGCUCAGUUGGUAGAGCAUGGUGUUUGCAACGCCAGGGUUGUGGGUUCAAUUCCCACAGGGGAC